CGCCCGUCACACCAUGAGAGUUGAUAAUACCCAAAGACGGCUAGUUAACCUCGGAGACGGUUGUCUAAGGUAGGAUCGAUGAUUGGGGUGAAGUCGUAACAAGGUAUCCCUACGAGAACGUGGGGAUGGAUCACCUCCUUUCUACGGAGUACAAAGGCAUUAUUGUUUUUACAGUAAUGAAUUAAUUAAUUAAUUUUUUAAUCCAUUUUGGAUAUUUAUAUUUUUAUAUUUUUAAAAUAUAUGGUCUUUAUGUAAGAAAUUACAAUCUUGUAACCAGUUUUGAGAGUUCUACUCUCAAAAAUAUAGUUCUUUGAAAACUGAAUAGUAAAAUAAACAACGCAACAUGAGUCAUUUUAAAAUAAAUUAAAAUUGAUGAUAAUUGUUGCCGAGUCCAAAAAAUAGAUUUUAUUUUUUGAUCAAUCAAAUUAGAUACCAAUCUUAUUAAUAAACACAAUGGGCAAGUAAAUUUUUAAAUAAUAAAGAGCUUUUGGUGGAUGCCUUGGGUAUGGAAGUCGAUGAAGGACGUGAUAACCUGCGAUAAGCUUCGCUGAGUUGGACAUAAACUAUGAAGCGGAGAUUUCCGAAUGGGGGAACCCAACUGGAGUAAUAACCAGUUACUAUAAAGUGAAUUCAUAGCUUUAUAGGGAGACACGAUGUGAACUGAAACAUCUUAGUAACAUCAGGAAGAGAAAAUAAAUAAUGAUUCUGUUAGUAGUGGCGAGCGAAAGCGGAAGAGCCCAAACCAGUUUACUGGGGUUGUAGGACAUUCUACAUAGAGUUACAAAAUUAUUGUAUAGAAGAACAAGUUGGGAAGCUUGACCAUAGAAGGUGAAAGUCCUGUAUUUGAAAUGCAAUAAUCUCUUGAAUGUAUCCUGAGUAGGGCGGGGCACGUGAAACCCUGUCUGAAUCUGCCGGGACCACCCGGUAAGGCUAAAUACUAUCCAUACACCGAUAGUGAACAA
rnacentral:sRNA from 2 species